CCUACGGGAGGCAGCAGUGGGGAAUUUUGGACAAUGGGCGCAAGCCUGAUCCAGCAAUGCCGCGUGCAGGAUGAAGGCCUUCGGGUUGUAAACUGCUUUUGUACGGAACGAAACGGUGAGCUCUAAUACAGUUUGCUAAUGACGGUACCGUAAGAAUAAGCACCGGCUAACUACGUGCCAGCAGCCGCGGUAAUACGUAGGGUGCGAGCGUUAAUCGGAAUUACUGGGCGUAAAGCGUGCGCAGGCGGUGAUGUAAGACAGAUGUGAAAUGCCCGGGCUCAACCUGGGACCUGCAUUUGUGACUGCAUCGCUAGAGUACGGUAGAGGGGGAUGGAAUUCCGCGUGUAGCAGUGAAAUGCGUAGAUAUGCGGAGGAACACCGAUGGCGAAGGCAAUCCCCUGGACCUGUACUGACGCUCAUGCACGAAAGCGUGGGGAGCAAACAGGAUUAGAUACCCUGGUAGUCCACGCCCUAAACGAUGUCAACUGGUUGUUGGGUCUUCACUGACUCAGUAACGAAGCUAACGCGUGAAGUUGACCGCCUUGGGGAGUUCGGCCGCAAGGUUGAACUUAAGGGAAUUGACGGNGNGAGAGNGCGAGGCGACGACGAGGGAGGAG
rnacentral:rRNA from 1 species